UCUAGCGGAUGGGUUAGCGA
rnacentral:siRNA from 1 species